rnacentral:rRNA from 1 species
AGGCUUUGAAGUGUGGACGCCAGUCUGCAUGGAGCCGGCCUUGAAAUACCACCCUUUAAUGUUUGAUGUUCUAACGUGGACCCGUGAUCCGGGUUGCGGACAGUGUCUGGUGGGUAGUUUGACUGGGGCGGUCUCCUCCUAAAGAGUAACGGAGGAGCACGAAGGUUGGCUAAUCCUGGUCGGACAUCAGGAGGUUAGUGCAAUGGCAUAAGCCAGCUUGACUGCGAGCGUGACGGCGCGAGCAGGUGCGAAAGCAGGUCAUAGUGAUCCGGUGGUUCUGAAUGGAAGGGCCAUCGCUCAACGGAUAAAAGGUACUCCGGGGAUAACAGGCUGAUACCGCCCAAGAGUUCAUAUCGACGGCGGUGUUUGGCACCUCGAUGUCGGCUCAUCACAUCCUGGGGCUGAAGUAGGUCCCAAGGGUAUGGCUGUUCGCCAUUUAAAGUGGUACGCGAGCUGGGUUUAGAACGUCGUGAGACAGUUCGGUCCCUAUCUGCCGUGGGCGCUGGAGAACUGAGGGGGGCUGCUCCUAGUACGAGAGGACCGGAGUGGACGCAUCACUGGUGUUCGGGUUGUCAUGCCAAUGGCACUGCCCGGUAGCUAAAUGCGGAAGAGAUAAGUGCUGAAAGCAUCUAAGCACGAAACUUGCCCCGA